rnacentral:piRNA from 1 species
AACCUGUGGAAAACUGACGGUCA